rnacentral:rRNA from 1 species
UACGUAGGGUGCGAGCGUUAAUCGGAAUUACUGGGCGUAAAGCGUGCGCAGGCGGUUGCUGAAGUCCGUUGUGAAAGCCCGGGGCUCAACCUGGGAAUUGCAUUUGAGACUGCGUAGCUAGGGUGCGGAAGAGGGAAGCGGAAUUUCCGGUGUAGCGGUGAAAUGCGUAGAUAUCGGAAGGAACACCAGUGGCGAAAGCGGCUUCCUGGUCCAGCACCGACGUUCAGGCACGAAAGCGUGGGGAGCAAACAGG